CAUGUUCAAGCCACACUAAACGUUGAGUUGGCCGGUGUGCUGACAAACGAACAGGCGUUUUAAGGAUACGUUCGUUGGGUAGGGGAGCGUUCUGUAAGCCGUUGAAGGUGACCUGUGAGGGUUGCUGGAGGUAUCAGAAGUGCGAAUGCUGACAUAAGUAACGAUAAUGCGGGUGAAAAACCCGCACGCCGGAAGACCAAGGGUUCCUGUCCAACGUUAAUCGGGGCAGGGUGAGUCGACCCCUAAGGCGAGGCUGAAAAGCGUAGUCGAUGGGAAACAGGUUAAUAUUCCUGUACUUGGUGUUACUGCGAAGGGGGGACGGAGAAGGCUAGGCUAGCCGGGCGACGGUUGUCCCGGUUUAAGCAUGUAGGCGGAGUGACCAGGUAAAUCCGGUUGCUUAUC
rnacentral:rRNA from 1 species